AAUCACCUGGGCAACCUGAAUCUGCAUGGGAUGUAGGAACAAGAGGACAGAGGAGCCAGUGUAUAGAGUGACCGGCUCCUCAUCAGAGGCGGACGCAUCAUCAAUGAUGACCAGUCCUUCUAUGCCGAUGUCUACCUAGAAGAUGGACUCAUAAAGCAAAUAGGAGAAAACCUGAUUGUUCCUGGUGGAGUGAAGACCAUCGAGGCUAAUGGCCGAAUGGUCAUUCCUGGGGGCAUCGAUGUCAACACUUACCUGCAGAAGCCGUCCCAGGGCA
rnacentral:lncRNA from 1 species